rnacentral:rRNA from 1 species
AACAGGAUUAGAUACCCUGGUAGUCCAUGCCGUAAACGAUGUCUACUAGCCGUUGGGGCCUUUGAGGCUUUAGUGGCGCAGCUAACGCGAUAAGUAGACCGCCUGGGGAGUACGGUCGCAAGACUAAAACUCAAAUGAAUUGACGGGGGCCCGCACAAGCGGUGGAGCAUGUGGUUUAAUUCGAUGCAACGCGAAGAACCUUACCUGGCCUUGACAUACUAGAAACUUUCCAGAGAUGGAUUGGUGCCUUCGGGAAUCUAGAUACAGGUGCUGCAUGGCUGUCGUCAGCUCGUGUCGUGAGAUGUUGGGUUAAGUCCCGCAACGAGCGCAACCCUUUUCCUUACUUGCCAGCAUUUCGGAUGGGAACUUUAAGGAUACUGCCAGUGACAAACUGGAGGAAGGCGGGGACGACGUCAAGUCAUCAUGGCCCUUACGGCCAGGGCUACACACGUGCUACAAUGGUCGGUACAAAGGGUUGCUACACAGCGAUGUGAUGCUAAUCUCAAAAAGCCGAUCGUAGUCCGGAUUGGAGUCUGCAACUCGACCCCAUGAAGUCGGAAUCGCUAGUAAUCGCGGAUCAGAAUGCCGCGGUGAAUACGUUCCCGGGCCUUGUACACACCGCCCGUCACACCAUGGGAGUUUGUUGCACCAGAAGUAGGUAGUCUAACCGCAAGGAGGACGCUUACCACGGUGUGGCCGAUGACUGGGGUGAAGUCGUAACAAGGUAACC